rnacentral:lncRNA from 1 species
AACUUCAGCUUCUUCUCCAACGAAACGGAGUCCUACUUCACUUACUCCCUCUACAACCACGCGAACGUCUCGAGAUUCGCCAUGGACGUCUCGGGACAGAUCAAGCAGUUCACUUGGCUGAACAACAACAACCAGUGGAACCUGUUCUGGUCUCAGCCUCGGCAACAAUGCCAAGUGUAUGCUUACUGUGGCUCCUUUGGGAUUUGCAACGACAAGUCCCAGCCUUUUUGCCAGUGCCCUCGUGGGUUUAGGCCCGCGUCGCAAAAAGACUGGGACUUGAAGGAUUACUCUGCGGGCUGCGUCAGAAGCACUGAGCUACAGUGCUCUCGCGGAGUGAUCAACGAGUUUCUGCCUCUUACCAACGUGAAGUUACCUGACAACAACUCAGAGGGGCUACUGGGAUCAACGAGCUGCAGAUCAGCUUGUCUAGGGAACUGUUCUUGUAUGGCUUACGCACAUGAGGAAACCUCGAACCGAUGCUUGAUGUGGAGUAAAGAUGUCUUGAAUCUUCAACAACUCGAGGAAGAUAACAGCGAGGGGAAUACACUUUAUCUUAGACUCUCUGCUUCCGACAUCCCUCGUAAUUCUCCUUCCGGUAAGAGUAACAAAGUGAUGAUAAUCGGCGCGGUUCUAGGCUCGUUAGGGGUGGUAGCUCUUGUUUUGUUGGCUGUCAUCUUAAUCUUGAGGAGCCUUAGGAUGAAGAGAAUGAGAGGAGAGAAGAGUGAUGGUACAUUGGCUGCGUUUAGCUAUAGAGAGUUACAGAACGCGACUAAGAACUUCUCGGAGAAGCUAGGAGGAGGAGGUUUCGGCUCGGUGUUCAAAGGAGCUUUACAAGAUUCUAGCGUCAUUGCGGUGAAGAGGCUUGAGGGUAUUAGCCAAGGAGAGAAGCAGUUUCGGACGGAAGUUGUCACAAUAGGAACAAUCCAGCACAUGAACCUAGUGAGGCUUCGCGGGUUUUGCUCUGAAGGAAACAAGAAACUGCUUGUGUAUGAUUACAUGCCUAACGGUUCUUUGGAUUCUCAUCUUUUCAUCAGCCAAGCCGGAGAAGAGAAGACCGUCCUCGGGUGGAAACUGCGGUACCAAAUCGCGCUAGGGACAGCUAGAGGAUUGGCUUACUUGCACGACGAAUGUAGAGACUGUAUCAUUCACUGCGACAUAAAACCCGAAAACAUCUUGUUAGAUUCGCAGUUCGGUCCCAAAGUUGCUGAUUUCGGCUUGGCGAAGCUCGUGGGCCGAGAUUUCAGCAGGGUUCUGACGACAAUGAGAGGCACGAGAGGCUACCUUGCACCGGAAUGGAUCUCCGGAGUGGCGAUAACAGCGAAAGCCGAUGUUUACAGCUACGGGAUGAUGCUGUUCGAGAUUGUUUCGGGGAGAAGAAACACUGAGCAGUCAGAGAACGGGAAGGUCAGGUUCUUUCCUAGUGUGGCUGCGACUGUGCUCACCAAAGAUGAAGACAUCCGCUCUCUGCUUGACCCGAGACUAGAAGGCGAGUCCGUGGAUACGGAGGAGCUGGCGAGAGCUUGUAAAGUGGCGUGCUGGUGCAUACAGGACGAGGAGAGUCAUAGACCAGCGAUGAGUCAAGUUGUUCAGAUUCUUGAAGGUGUUUUGGAAGUGAAUACGCCGCCGUUUCCGAGAUCGAUCCAAGCUCUAGUUGAAAACGAUGGAUCUGUUGUCUUCUUCACUGAGUCUUCAUCUUCCUCAAGCCAUAAUUCUUCACAGAAACAGAACCAUUCUUCUUCUUCUUCUUCUUCCAAGAAGACGACCAACAACAACUCUUCGGCUUAGUUUAGUAUUAUUGUAAACGCAUUGUGUUAUGAAUUGUGUAAUAUUGACUAUAUGUUUUAAUUAGUUGUAAAAGGAAUCACUUAAUUUUCUUCCGUUGUAUAAUUAUUUCUUUGUUGCAGAUUUAUGUAAACUUUUAUUUUCUUAAACCUCAUCAUUCUACAGAGCAUUAUAUCGUCAUCAUUUCCAUUAGAACCAUUACAUUCACGACCUUAUAUGAUGACUUGAGGACUGUUAACAUCAUAUCGCUGUUGUUACAUGUUAAUCAAAACUUUGAUUAGUGUUUGUUUUCGAAUUAAAUCAUUGGAUUACAAUCACCACAAGUAAGGCCAGCUUUGUAUUAUAUGAAUCAUGUGAUGAUACUAUGAUGUUGAAACCUUAAUCAUGUCAUUUGAUAAUUUAUAAUUUUUUCUUGGCAUGGUUUUUUUUGUAUGAGAUUUUGUUUACUAUAAGGUCAGUGAGUAAGAACUUAAGAUCUUAAUCUAUGUCCAUUGAUAAUGCUUUAAAACAAGUAGGUGUAGUUCUGUUUUUGAUAAAUAGAGAAACCAAGAGUUUACUUAUAAUUUGAGAAUCGAUGAAAGUAUUGCUCGUCAUAUAGAUGUUGAUCCUAUAUUUCCAAGUAAGUGUGUAGUUUCUUUAGGAAAAAACAGUUUGAUAGAACUGAGUUAGGUGAAAAAGUACUAGCAUGUGAAGAUGGAUUUGUAAUUAAUCUUUUUAGGUGUGGUGGACACGUUAAGAUCAUAUUUGAUCAAAUGGUGAAUUUUAAAAGUGUUAUUGGGUUUUUAUUUGAUUUGAGAAAAUUAAAUGCAUUAGAUGAAAUGAAAGUGAGCUACAAGAAAAUUAUACUGAUUUUUACAAAGCAACUCUCUCAGUUUCGGAAGUUGUCUUGAAACAACGCAGUGACACACACACACUCUCUUGUCUUCCCUUCUGUGUCUUGUGUUAUCGUUCACACUUCACAGAUUCUUCUUGUAAUAGUCCCACGAGAAAAUUCACAGUAGGUCCCAUAGAGUUAAUGCACUCCAAAGACAAAAUGUGCCCUAUAGGGUAAUGCACUCCAUCAUAUUCUUGUAACUUGUUUGACUUUUCUACACUAACCAACCAAUCACACAAAAAAAAACAAACAAUUUUUUUUCUUUCUGUUCUUUCUGAUUAUUAUUUUUCUUAGACCAUGAUUAAUUCAGAGUUCUUAAAAUGGUUCUUAGCGAAAGUUAAGAAACAGUUUUUUUUAUUUUCGCUAAAAACUUCAUUCUAAAAAUUCCGGAUUAAUCAUCCUCUUACAAUUUUCUAUUGACAAACUAAACCUAACGACUAGUCAAACUAAACCUCAUCACGACUUAGUCAACUAGCACGACCGUAGACUUAUAAAUAUUUUUAGCUUUAUAAAAAAAAUGCACACUCUUCAUAUGAUCUCUCUCCCCUUACCUCUAACGCUAAUAAGCUUUUGUCAUGGUUUCGUUCUUCUGCGUCCUCUUUACCUUCUUCUUCCUCUGCACCCAUGUCUCUUCCGCGGAUACAAUCUCCGCUGACUUCACUCUCUCCGGAGACCAGACAAUCUCAUCCUCCCGCGGAACUUUCAAAAUGGGUUUCUUCCAACCUGCUACUUCUUCAAACUUCUACGUAGGUAUGUGGUACCAGCAACUUCCUCAACAAACUAUCGUCUGGGUAGCUAACCGAGACAAACCAGUCUCCGACAAGAAAACAUCACUUCUCAAAAUCUCCAACGGUAACUUAGUUCUACUCGACGGAAACAACCAGACUCCAGUUUGGUCGACCGGUCUCAACUCUUCCUCUGCUCACGACGCCGUUUUGCAAGACGACGGCAAUCUCGUUCUCAGAGACGAGUCCGGCUCUCUUCUAUGGCAAAGCUUCGAUCAUCCCGGUGACACGUGGCUUCCCGGUGUCAAAAUCCGGUACGACAAACGAACCAAGAAAAGUCAACGUCUCACGUCGUGGACGAGUGUUGAAGACCCAUCACCAGGUUUGUUCUCUCUGGAGCUAGACGAGUCAACAGCUUACAAGAUCCUCUGGAACGGGUCGACUCAGUACUGGUCGAGUGGUCCUUGGAACCCUCAGAGCAAGCUCUUCGAUUCAGUCCCAGAGAUGAGACUCAACUACAUCUUCAACUACAGCUUUUUCUCCAACGCAACAGAGUCAUACUUCACUUACUCCAUCUAUAACACGGCCAACAUCUCACGACUCGUCAUGGACGUUUCGGGACAGAUUAGGCAGUCCAGUUGGUUAAACAACAACAACCAGUGGAACCUGUUCUGGUCUCAGCCUCGGCAGCAAUGCCUAGUCUACUCUUACUGUGGCUCCUUUGGGAUUUGCAGUAGCAAGUCUCAGCCUUUUUGCCAAUGCCCUCGUGGGUUUAGACCCAAGUCGCAAAAAGAUUGGGACUUGAAGGAUUACUC